rnacentral:tRNA from 1 species
GGAGAGGCCAGCCGAUUGGCGGCGGCAACUGUCUAGAAAACAGUUUGCGUGCAAGCGCGUGUGGGUUCGACUCCCACUCUCUCCG